UACGUAGGGUGCAAGCGUUAAUCGGAAUUACUGGGCGUAAAGCGUGCGCAGGCGGUCGUGCAAGACAGGUGUGAAAUCCCCGGGCUUAACCUGGGAACUGCACUUGUGACUGCACGGCUGGAGUACGGCAGAGGGGGAUGGAAUUCCGCGUGUAGCAGUGAAAUGCGUAGAUAUGCGGAGGAACACCGAUGGCGAAGGCAGUCCCCUGGGCCUGUACUGACGCUCAUGCACGAAAGCGUGGGGAGCAAACAGGA
rnacentral:rRNA from 1 species